GCUUCUCUCUUCACUCAGCGCCCCCCUCUCUGCCCCUCUGAUUCUCGCAGACAAGAGAAGAAGAAGAGUUAAUAAGCUUCUCACCAUCUCUCCAACCGCAACUGCUCUCUCUCUGCUAAAAUGGCUGGUAAACUCGGUAAGAAAGUGGGUUCUAAAUUAGGGAAACCACCAACCAAGAAGAAGCAGAAGAAGGAACCUUUGCCACCUAAGCCACUGGAAAAGGAGGAUCUUUUUAGUGACAGUGAAGGAACUGAUGGAGAUUUUGAAGAAGAUGGAGGUUCUGGUGAUGAAGAACAACAGGAAAUGAACUCAGAUUCUGACAUGUCUUCUGACUUGGAUGACCCCUUUGCUGCUGAUAUAUUAGCAAGCGGUGAUGCUGACGAUCGUUCCGAUGUUCAUUCCGAUUCGGAUGUAGAUUCUGAUUCAGAUGCAGAUGAUACUGAUCUUGUAAGGAAGUCAAAAGCUAUUGAUGAUGAAAGGAAAAGAGAGGAGGAGGAGGGUGAUUUGGAAUUGCAGCUCAAUAUUAAAGAAGAAGCUGAUGAGUUCAGAUUGCCAACAACGGAGGAGCUCGAAGAAGAAACAAAUAGACCCCCGGAUCUCUCUAAUCUCCAAAGGAGGAUAAAAGAAAUUGUUCGGGUGCUCUCAAAUUUCAAGUCAUUGAGGCAAGAAAAUGUGACACGUAAGGAUUACGUUGAUCAACUUAAAAGGGACUUGGGUUCAUAUUAUGGAUACAAUGAUUUUCUCAUUGAAUCGUUAGUGGAGCUGUUUCCCCCUGUUGAGUUGAUUGAACUUAUUGAAGCAUUUGAAAAGCCCCGGCCAAUUUCUCUGCGGACAAACACUUUAAAGACUCGCAGACGGGAUUUAGCAGGUGUUCUUCUUAACAGAGGUGUCAAUUUGGAUCCACUAAGCAAAUGGUCAAAGGUUGGGCUAGUUGUAUAUGAUUCUCAAGUUCCAGUUGGUGCCACUCCUGAGUAUAUGGCUGGUCACUACAUGCUCCAAAGUGCGAGUUCGUUUCUGCCUGUAAUGGCCCUUGCCCCUCAAGAGAAUGAACGUAUUGUUGAUAUGGCUGCUGCUCCUGGAGGCAAAACAACUUAUGUUGCUGCACUGAUGAAAAAUAGUGGUAUUAUUUAUGCAAAUGAGAUGAAGGAGUCGAGACUUAAAUCACUCACUGCUAACUUACAUCGCAUGGGGGUAACAAACACCAUUGUCUGUAACUAUGAUGGAAGAGAGCUACCUAAAGUCUUGGGUCAGAACACUGCCGAUAGAAUUUUGCUGGAUGCUCCCUGCAGUGGCACUGGGGUGAUUUCCAAGGAUGAGUCUGUUAAAACUUCCAAAACUGCUGCAGAUAUACAAAAUUGCUCACACCUGCAGAAGGAACUGAUACUUGCAGCAAUUGACAUGGUCGAUGCCAACUCAAAAUCGGGUGGAUACAUAGUGUAUUCUACCUGCUCCAUCAUGGUUGAUGAGAAUGAAGCAGUUAUAGAUUAUGCACUCAAGAAGAGAGAUGUUAAACUCGUGCCUUGUGGACUUGAUUUUGGCAGGCCCGGAUUUGUUCGCUUUAGGCAGCACCGUUUCCACACAUCGUUGGACAAGACACGGCGAUUCUAUCCUCAUGUGCACAACAUGGAUGGAUUCUUUGUGGCAAAGUUGAAAAAGAUGAGCAAUUCCAAGUCUGCUGCAAAAGCGUCAGCUCAGUCCGAAGAAAUAGAAGAUGCUGAUACCAUUGAGAGCAGUGACCAGCAGAAUGCUGAAGAGGAUGAUGACAAGCAUUCAGAGCAAGAAGGCAUUGCUAAAGAGAGCGGAAAAUUGAAUGAAAAAGCAGUAGCUGAUAAAAAAAGGAAGAGAGAUUUCCAAAAGCAUUCAGAUAAAAAAGGUGUUGGACAAAACGGUGGUGGAACUAAAAAUGGGAGGGCAGAAAACAAACCGGUGGCACCAAAAAGGAGGGAAAAGAAGAAACCCCCUCCUAUAGAAGAAAUCGCAAAAGCCAGGGAAGAGAAGAGGAAUGCUCUUAGGGAAGAAAAACGAAAAGCCACAUUGAAGAAAAAAUCUGGAAACAAGUGAGUUCUCUGUAACAUGCAGAUUAUAUUUUCUUAGAGGCGACAUGAAUGAACACAAAACUAAGAUAUAACUCGGGUAAUAUUAGCAGCUGCCAGCUAGAGGUAAUAUAUAUCUUGUCGUUAAUUGAUGACACUCCGAGAAAGGGUUGGAGAUCAUGUUUGAUUUGCUUUAGGAAAAAAAAACCAAAAACUAGGAUUUGUGGUUGCACGAAAAUCACGAAUCCAAAAUUUUGUAUCUGUAUUUGUUGAUGUUAUAUUUUUUCCUUUUGGAAGUGAGCAAUGAAAACUAAAAAGAGCAAAGUAGUUUGUUACAGUGCCAAUUACUAGGGUUGG
rnacentral:misc_RNA from 1 species